UACUGUACUUUCUGGUCGUGUGAUCAGUGAUCACGUGAGCAUGGCUGACUUGAGUUCUAACUCCACCCCUCCUCAACGGCAUCUCGUUCCCAGUGCAACCGCUCCGGCAUAGGAGGGCGGGAAAACUGGCGAGCUAGCCACGGAAGGCGCCUGUCGCUCUGCAUGCCCCCGCUGGCCAUAGCCGCACGAGUCGAUGUCGGUCGGUGGCUCCCUAACGACCCCGUCACCCUCGAACUCCAAACCGAACGAAAGUUCAGUUCAGCAACCGUAAACCGUGGUGGAGAGGGCGGACAUAGAAAGAGAGGUCUCGAACGUCCUAGGAUAGUAAAAUCGAACCACUUACGUGCAGGGUAGUACUCGGCGUAGUACCCGACGCCAACACCACGGCCACCAACGGAACGCGAGGUGUCGAAAACGACUGGUGGAUUUUGGCGUGGAGCGGGGGGACGCUCGAGCUAGCCGAGUGAAGAACGCAGGCACGCACGUACCUCCUUCGACCACCGACACGCUCCUACCCAGACUCUCCCCACGAAGAGCGAGACCGAAACGACGAGAGCCACACGCACGGUCGUUCGGUACCUGAGUGCCUGUCGGUCCUGUGAAGACAAGAGGCUCGCAAUUACCUAGUCACCGUCUUGAGCGGUGGCUGCACCCCUGUCAGGCUACUAGGGACGCCGCUAAGCGGUACCCUGCCUCACUGUACGUCGUUGUUGUCCCACUAGAGGUAUUUUCACAGUUGGUACCCGUAGUUUCCUCAAGAUCGGCGACUGUAGCCCGUCGACUGGCUCGACGUUAGGGACCUGGACAGGAAGUUGUUACUGGAACCUCCACACGAGUGAGGCUGGUAGCCAUUAAACUUCGUCGAACGUUGGAACUAAGACCGUCCAACGUCGAAAGUACCGUUGUAGGGACUACUCGAUCCCUCAGAAGGUUUUGAUAGAAUGUACCGAGACUUGAGCUUAGUCAAGAGACCUUUUUAUGGUCGUAGAAACCCGUCAGAGAGGUCGGAGAUAACCAAACUACAGCGGCUGUUAGUCGACUGGCCGGGUAACGGUUAGAGUAGUUUGCCCCCUUACCCAGAUCUGUUCGAAUGUUUUUGGUUUGUGAAGGUGAAGUUAUUCUUGGUUAACAGACCAGGGUAGGGUCUGCGAGAGAAGUCGGGACUCUACUGUGACUAAGUAGACGAAAAACUACCUUUAUUUAAGUGGCCACUGUAGGGCCUGAGAGAACCCAAACAAUCAUGUGAGCUUCAACAGGCCGACCUAUCUUUAAGGGAGAGGCCUGGUCAAGGCCGCUUGGACUUAUUGGAGUGGUUGCAUUUGCUCGAGUUGAAUCGGUUGUUGGUCGAAUUGCCUGGCAACGGGUUAGAUAGACCCUACUGAGAAGAGUUAAUACAGCUAGACUCGUUGUUGUGUAAACUAGGAAGGGGCUCGGGCGUCACCAAAACCUUCAAUGGUGUCGAGAGCCGAGAUUAAUAUGUUAGGCCUUCUGAGAUGCCGUGCCACGGCUACUUCGACAAGUCGUCGGGCGUCGACGUCGUUCACUAGGACCUGCCGUUGCGCAAGUUACCGUGGGACCUGGACCCCUCCUCGUAGUCGUCGCUCGACUCGUACCACUCGAAGUUCCUGUUGCUGAAGAGGAGGCAGUGCCACUGGAGGUCGAUGUUGCCGUGGGAGCGCGACCGGCCCUUGGGCCACACGUUGGUGGACGGCUUGUGCCGCAUGACGUUGCACUGUGUCGUGCGCGGAAGCGGCCGCAUGUGCUGCUCGGACCACUUCACGAAGAGCCCCCGCACGGGCGGCCUCGUCUCGUACUCGGGCGUCUCGACGCCCACGCGCAUGGGCAUGGUCCCCCACUACAUGAAGGCGCGCGGGAAGAAGCGCCUGCACCCGUUGCCCUGUCGCAAGGUCCUCGACCUCUCGUUCGACACCUGGUUCGACCUCGAGAGGGGCCCGAGGCACCGGGACGUCCUGGGGAAGAAGUUGUCGCUGAGGAUGUACGUCCAGGUCCACUUCGAGAAGGGAAGGCCGCCGGGGAUGAAGUUGGCGUGGCUCCACUACGCGUAGCCGAAGCUGGAGUCGUUGGUCUGGAAGUUCGGCGGGUUCCUCAAGCCGGGGAUGAUGAAGUAGCGGAGGGGCAUGGGGAAGGGUCUAGCCUUGCCCGGCCGCAGGUUCUCGUUCCCGCGGUAGUAGCCCUAGCGCCAACCGACGCCGCAGGACGAGUAGCGCGAGCACCCUCGACGGCAGAUGCGCGAGUACGUCUCCGCCGCGCGCGUCUUCCGGUGCCUUCUCGAGCCCCCCGGAAAGCGCAGCACCCGAGCCUCGCUCCUCGCCCCGCCGCGCGGCGCCGACUUUCCCCGCUCCACCAAGAGCACGCUCCUCGACUUCGCCUCGUGGUUGUUGAAGCGGCUCCGCUUGCUCGACCCCAUGCCUCCCAUGCCGUUCCACAUGUCCCCGUACGACGGGUUGCCCGUCAAGUAGCGGUAGUUCUCCCGCGUCGUUCCCAGCUACGUCCCGCCCGUGCUCAAGUUCUGGCUCUAGCUCGACGAGAGGGCCCACGUGGUGUUCUUGGAGCAGCCGGAGCAGCCGAAGACGAAGCUCGUCCCGCUCGUCUACGAGCAGAUGCUCAUGUACAGGCGGCCGUGCGACGCGCUGUCGGAGUGGCCCUUCUCGCCGGAGGUAGAGCUGACCUUCUUCGCGGAGGCCCACCGCGACCCGCGCCGUGCGCCGGAGCGGAUGGACGUACUCGAGCGGCUGGGCGGGUAGUAGGUGGCCCUGCAGUUCAGGUCGUUGUAGGAGUACCUGCUCGUGGAGUGGCGGUUCCAGCGGCUGAAGCCGGAGAGGUUUAAUCACAGGCUGUCGCUGUUCCCGGUGCAGUCGUGGGUUCAGUUUCCUUGCCAAUAGACCUGGGGCUCAUGAUGUACAGGGUCGUUGACUGCCUCUUCUCGCUGCAGAUGUCGAAGCCGCACCAGUACGAGCUCGACUAGUAGCGGUCCGUCGGCUAGCUCUUCCCGUUCAUGUAGCAGUCCCUCCGGUUCUCCCAAAAGCUGCGACGGCUGCGGCUCAAGACGCCGGAGUCCCCGUACUAUCUGAGGUCCUAGUAGUUGUGGUUGGUAGAGCGGCGCAAGUCGUUCAAGCACGUCGACCGGUAGGCCACGCACCUCCUCCCGCGACGGCGGGCUGGCAGGUACUCGCUGCAGCAGUUCCUCUAGCUCUACUACGACGUCUUGCUCCCCGAGUCGUCGCGGAGGUGCAGACGCUGGCUGAAGCUGCAGUGAUUUUGGCGAGGAGCGGUGGGAAUGUUGCUAGGAGAGGGUUUCUUCCUGUUCCUGUACUCGUGUCUGAGUAAGCUGCUGAUGUCGCCUCCUAUAAGAAAGGUCAGUUUCCAGGUUGGUUUCAUCGACCAAAGACGAUCCCUAAGAUACGACCGGCCUGGAAAAGAAGGAGGGAGGAGUGGUUCAUCGAACGGAUUAUGUCAUACAGCUGUACAGUUCUUAAAAAUAAGAUACACUAAAUGGUAAUUGUGAGAGAAUAAUCUCACCAAAACAUACCGGUACAAGAUUAGUUUUGCAACAAUGAAUGCCGAUUGUGGCGGUCCCGGUGGUUUGUUUGUGAAGACUUACUGAUGAACGGGACGAUUAUCCCCCUUUAGGAAAAUACCAUGAUCUAGCCAG
rnacentral:rRNA from 1 species